AGCUGUGGCCAUAUGAACACGGCAACAAAUGCCCAACGAAGAGCGGCAACCUUGUUGUGGCGUUGCGCAUCAAAAACCCACAUCCGUUUCCGCGCAGCGAGCUUUGGGAAUCUUUCACCAGCAGCACGCAGAGGAAGACGUAGCCACGCGCAACUGCGGCGGGCUAAAUUUCUGAAGUUUUCUUCGAAACUUCAGGAACAUGCGUGCUAAGUGGAGGAAGAAGCGUAUGCGCAGGCUAAAGCGGAAGAGGAGAAAGAUGAGGGCAAGGUCUAAGUAGACUGUCUCCCCCAUUUCAUGACUUCCUAUAAUUUUUGGCGUCCUCUCCUAAAAUUCUGGCUGCUUCUGUGGAUACUUCUCUACCACCACAAUUUUACUUAAUAAAAUUCACAGAAAAUUA